GGGUUAAGUCCCGGCAACGAGCGCAACCCUCGACCUUAGUUGCCAGCAUUCAGUUGGGCACUCUAAGGUGACUGCCGGCUAAAAGUCGGAGGAAGGUGGGGAUGACGUCAAAUCAUCAUGCCCCUUAUGACCUGGGCUACACACGUGCUACAAUGGGCGGUACAAAGGGUCGCGAACCCGCGAGGGGGAGCCAAUCCCAAAAAGCCGCUCUCAGUUCGGAUUGCAGGCUGCAACUCGCCUGCAUGAAGCCGGAAUCGCUAGUAAUCGCGGAUCAGCAUGCCGCGGUGAAUACGUUCCCGGGCCUU
rnacentral:rRNA from 1 species